UACAGAGGGGGCAAGCGUUGUUCGGAAUUACUGGGCGUAAAGGGCGCGUAGGCGGCCUUCUUAGUCGAACGUGAAAUCCCCGGGCUCAACCCGGGAACUGCGUCCGAUACUGGAAGGCUCGAAUCCGGGAGAGGGAUGUGGAAUUCCAGGUGUAGCGGUGAAAUGCGUAGAUAUCUGGAGGAACACCGGUGGCGAAGGCGACAUCCUGGACCGGUAUUGACGCUGAGGCGCGAAAGCCAGGGGAGCAAACGGG
rnacentral:rRNA from 1 species